rnacentral:rRNA from 1 species
GAUGAACGCUGGCGGCGUGCCUAAUACAUGCAAGUCGAGCGAACAGAUGAGGAGCUUGCUCCUCUGACGUUAGCGGCGGACGGGUGAGUAACACGUGGAUAACCUACCUAUAAGACUUGGAUAACUUCGGGAAACCGGAGCUAAUACCGGAUAAUAUAUUGAACCGCAUGGUUCAAUAGUGAAAUACGGUUUUGCUGUCACUUAUAGAUGGAUCCGCGCCGCAUUAGCUAGUUGGUAAGGUAACGGCUUACCAAGGCAACGAUGCGUAGCCGACCUGAGAGGGUGACCGGCCACACUGGAAGUGAGACACGGUCCAGACUCCUACGGGAGGCAGCAGUAGGGAAUCUUCCGCAAUGGGCGAAAGCUUGACGGAGCAACGCCGCGUGAGUGAUGAAGGUCUUCGGAUCGUAAAACUCUGUUAUUAGGGAAGAACAAAUGUGUAAGUAACUAUGCACGUCUUGACGGUACCUAAUCAGAAAGCCACGGCUAACUACGUG